rnacentral:rRNA from 1 species
CAGUAGCCGCGGGAAUACGGAGGGUGCAAGCGUUAAUCGGAAUUACUGGGCGUAAAGCGCACGCAGGCGGUCUGUCAAGUCGGAUGUGAAAUCCCCGGGCUCAACCUGGGAACUGCAUUCGAAACUGGCAGGCUAGAGUCUUGUAGAGGGGGGUAGAAUUCCAGGUGUAGCGGUGAAAUGCGUAGAGAUCUGGAGGAAUACCGGUGGCGAAGGCGGCCCCCUGGACAAAGACUGACGCUCAGGUGCGAAAGCGUGGGGAGCAAACAGGAUUAGAUACCCCGGUAGUCCCUGUCUCUUAUAA